GAACAGGAUUUAGAUACCCGGGUAGUCCAUGCCGUAAACGUUGGGGCACUAGGUGUGGGGGACAUUCCACGUUUUCCGCGCCGUAGCUAACGCAUUAAGUGCCCCGCCUGGGGAGUACGGCCGCAAGGCUAAAACUCAAAGGAAUUGACGGGGGCCCGCACAAGCGGCGGAGCAUGCGGAUUAAUUCGAUGCAACGCGAAGAACCUUACCAAGGCUUGACAUGAACCGGAAUGAUGCAGAGAUGUGUCAGCCACUUGUGGCCGGUUUACAGGUGGUGCAUGGUUGUCGUCAGCUCGUGUCGUGAGAUGUUGGGUUAAGUCCCGCAACGAGCGCAACCCUCGUUCCAUGUUGCCAGCGGGUUAUGCCGGGGACUCAUGGGAGACUGCCGGGGUCAACUCGGAGGAAGGUGGGGACGACGUCAAAUCAUCAUGCCCCUUAUGUCUUGGGCUUCACGCAUGCUACAAUGGCCGGUACAAAGGGUUGCGAUACUGUGAGGUGGAGCUAAUCCCAAAAAGCCGGUCUCAGUUCGGAUUGAGGUCUGCAACUCGACCUCAUGAAGUUGGAGUCGCUAGUAAUCGCAGAUCAGCAACGCUGCGGUGAAUACGUUCCCGGGCCUUGUACACACCGCCCGUCUUUGUCACGAAAGUUGGUAACACCCAAGCCGGU
rnacentral:rRNA from 1 species